CAGUUUCUCCAAUUUCAGUGCAGUCCAGAAAUUUCUAUUGCUUUUGAUUUUGCACAAAUUUUUCCAGUAAGAUGUCUCGAUGUUAAGAAAUCUAAGAGAGGCGCAGUUCCACGAUGUUUUAGAGAUUUAGCUCUGUCAAUUCAUCUUCCAUCGAUGUUCGUCGUUUUACUACUGAUACCAGACUUUCUUAUAACUAUUCUAGAAAUUCAUGUGGCUUUGGCUCUCCUUUUAACCGAUUCUGCACAUGCACCUGAAGAAGAUGGGCAAGAGAGAAAAUGCAUGUGGUUGAUUGUUUGAAUUCUUCUUGGAAGUACACUGAAAUUACAAUCAAGAAGAGGACAUAGUGAUGGAAAGGGAACAACUUUGAUGCAACAAAGAUGUUUGAUGAUAUGCCUCAAGUGCUGCUUAAAGAAGAAAUAGUAAUGGAAUGGAAGAACUUUGAUGCAACAAAGAUUUUUGUCGAAAUGCCUCGAGUACUAUUUAAUUUUUUUUUAUUCCUUUUUUCUUAGGUGUCCUAUAACGUAGAGAUCUAGCAUCAACCCCAAAGAUACAGAAUUUCUCAAUAAUAUAAUGUGCGUCAAUAGUUAAAUGAAUACUUGUACGAAAUGCAUAAUUUACUUAUAUAUUUAUGGUAGUAUUAUUGUUUAUAUAAAUAAACAGGAAAAGUCAGAUACACUCCAAACUGAUGCUGAGUUCUUUGGUGGCUGCCAUUUUGCUACUUGGUAUGUAUUGAUGAUUGAAUUAGCUCAACAUCAAUUACAUUUUUUAUCAAGUUUAAAAACCUCUCAAAGGCUGCAUUAUAGCUACGAUGCCUUAUCUGUUACUUUUUAUGGCUACAAUAAUUAAUUAAACGUGUAAUUUUCGUGGUUGUGCAUGUGUUGGGUGUAAGAAAUAUGCCGAGAUUUCAAGAGUUGAAAUUUCAACAAUGCCCUAAAAUUAGUCAAGGCAAAUUUUAUCGAGGGUAAUGCACAAUGUGGUACCCAUUUCUUUUGUGUAUUUUUUAUAAGGAUUUAUUUAGCAUUUUUUUUUGUUGGUUGGAUACUAACUUCUAUUAGAUGCCGAGUUCUUGCCUGAUGACUUAGUGUUAUUACUUACCUUAUUACAGAUGUGGGAACUCGACAGUUAGGUGAAAUUAUUUUUCCAUCCUGAGAAUUGCCAAACCUUUCUCUAUAAUUCAAGUAGCUCUUCUCUAUGUUCCAUAUUUAAGCUUUCACAUUCAUAUAUUUUCAUUAUUUCUGUAGGUGGUAAUGAUAAAUAAAUUUAUUUUACCUUCUUCUCUGAUGAAUUCAGCGAGCUUCAUUGGUGAAAAGACAUUGCAGUUCUAAGUGAAGAUAACACUUUGAGUUUUGUACAAAUCAGCAAAUCUGAGUGUGACAGUGAACACUUGAGUUUGAUCGGCCAUUUUGGAUUGAGAACAUAUAAACGUUUUUCUUGUUUAAUUUUUAAUAUCUAUUUUGUUCUUAAGAAGGUCGAUCUGGAAUAGUGAGAUUCGUCUCUUUUCCCCUUUUAUGUUCUUUCUUGUGACUACUUUGGUACUAUGUCAUUCAAAUGAACGAGUCUCACUAUUACAUCAUUGUACAUCGUGUGCACCCUGUUUGAUGAUUGCCUGAAAUGACUGAAUAAUUUUUAUUUCUUUAUUUUUCUGCAGGUGUUCGACAAUAUGUCAUAUGUCAUCCAGGAGUCCAACAGGUACAUUAUCUACUUCUACUUCACAUGAUUGUUAAAUAACAUAUAUGUUGUAUUUGUCAUUUUGUAUAAGAAAUAUGUUAGAGAUGUACUUUGGUUCCUUACAUGUGUUUUCUAUUGCACUAUUGCUAUUGUUUGUCUAAUUUUUUGUUAACAAAAAACAUUAAAUAUGACUUAUAGAUAUUCAAAGUUAUAAUACCAAAUUCCAUUUGCUUGCUUGUGAUAUGAAAUUGCUGGCUGAUUAAGGUUAGGAGUCCUGCAAAGAGCAAUGAAAAUGGUAUAAAAUAUCUCAGGAUACGCCAUUAGACUCCCUUAUGGAUUGUGGGGUUGAUUGUAAUCUUGAAGCAAUGUAAGAAAUGUUAUCAGCAGGCUGAAAUACAUAUAUUAUGAGACAUCUGCCUUGGUUUUGGGGUUGAGUCCUAUUGGGAGGCUUGCAAAAUAUUGAAAAUCCCAUGAUGGCAGUGACUGCUGUCACAGAACCUAUGUCAAUAUUAUUUGGCACAACAGUUGGAUUGACAACUUCAACAAAUAUGAAAGUGGUAAGAUUUUUGGAACUUGUUGAUUGAUACAAGGUACGUAGUGUCACCUCACUUGAAAGUAUAGUGCAGACCAGCAUAAGAGAUUCUACAGAAGUUUGGCAUGAAUAGAAGUGUUUUGGAUCACAACCAUAGCCUGCGGUGCUUGGUGCUACUUGUGCAUAUUAUAGAUUUUGAUUGCAGGAGAGGAAUAUAAAGAAGAAUAGGGAGAACAUGUCAAGGGGGAAAUUUGGAGGUUCACAAAACUCUGUUUGAACAAAAUUCUUAUACUAGAUGUGGUUCAAGAAUCCGGGGAUCUUUCUGAAGAUGAGUUGGUGCAAAAGGCUAGCCUAGUCAUGGAAUUGGAAGAGAUUGCCAAAAAUGAAGAGUUAAUUUGGAGGCAGAAAUCAAGGGUUCAAUGGUUAAAACAAGGGGAUCGAAAUACUAAGUAUUUUCAGAGGAUUGCAAAUGCCCACAGAAGGUUCAACAACAUUGACAAGCUCAAUAUUAAUGGGAUACAAGUGGAUGAUAAGGAAGUUAUAAAGGGUGAGAUCUUAGCCUUUUAUCAGCACUUAUACACUGAAUCUGAAGCAUGGAGGCCAAAGUUCAAUUUUCCAGAUUGUCCUAGAAUUAGUGAGGCAGAGGAGCAAUUGCUACAGAGGGAGUUUGAAGAGCAAGAAAUCAUAAGGGAUUCAAUGCUGGAAGGUGGUGAAAGAAGAUUUGAUGAAUACUUUUCAAAACUUCCACUCACAGGAAUUGUUUGAGAAGAGCUUUAAUGCUACUUAUGUAGCAUUAAUUCCAAAGAAGGCUGGGGCGAUGGAACUAAAAGAUUAUAGACCUAUAAGUCUCAUAAGUAGUGUGUAUAAGAUCAUUUCAAAGGUGUUGACAGAGAAAUUGAAGAUAGUAAUUCUCAAACUGGUUGACACUCAACAAAUGACUUUUAUCAAAGGUAGGCAGAUCAUGGAUGCAGCCCUAAUAGCAAACGAAUGUGUUGAUUCCAGGGUUAAAAGUAAGAUUCCAGGGAUCCUUGGCAAACUAGAUAUCGAGAAGGCAUAUGACCACAUAAAUUGGAACUAUUUGCUGGAAACUCUGAAGAAUAUGGGCUUUGGAAGGAGGUGGAUCAAAUGCAUAGGAUUCUGCAUCAGCACUGUUAAGUUUUCCAUUCUAGUUAAUGGUUCUCCAGAGGGUUUCUUUUCUUCACAGAGAGGGCUAAGGCAAGGAGACCUUUUGUCUCCUUUCCUUUUUAUAAUUGUAAUGGAAGGUCUGAAUAGUAUGAUUAAGAAGGCAAACCAGGAGAGGUUAAUAAGGGGUUUCAAGGCAGUGAAUAAUGUCAGUAGCAAUCUAGAGUUACUCAUCUGCUUUAUGCGGACGAUUCUUUAGUGUUCUGUGAUGCUAAAGAAGAGCAAGUUAGACAUUUGAGGUUGAUCUUAUCUGUCUUUGAAGCUGUCUCACGGUUACAUGUCAACUGGAGUAAGUCACAGGUGUACACAGUUAAUGAGGUCACCAACAUUCAAAGAUUGGCGGGGGUGUUGGGCUGUCAGGUGGGAAAUCUCCCAACAACAUGUUUGGGGAUGCCCUUGGGAGCAAAAAAUAGAUCCCAGGAGUUAUGGAAUGAGGUGCUGGAGAGGUGUGAAAAGAAACUUGCUGUAUGGAAAGGAAAUUAUCUUUCUCUGGGAGGGAGGAUUACUUUAGUCAAUAGUGUGCUAGAUGCUCUUCCUACUUACAUGAUGUCUUUUUUCCCAAUUCCUGUAAAAGUUGAGAAAAGAGUGGAUGCUUUAAGGAGGAAAUUCAUACGGCAAGGGAAAAAGGAGAAGAAGGCCUACAAUUUGGUAAAAUGAAGCACUUUGCUAAAAAGCAAGAGGGAUGGAGGUUGGGGAAUCAGAAAUUUGAGACAACAUAACAAGAGUUUACUUAUGAAGUGGCUAUGGAGAUUU